UGUCAGGGCCACAUCAAGCUAAUUUUGUAGACGUGAAGCAGCCAGAUACCAAGUUGGGCAAAUGUCACUAGGUUACAGAUUCUUCAAUUUUUUCAUCUGAAGUAAGGCGGUUUUUCUUUGUUUCUUUUUAGGUCCGGUCUAUGGUUUUUAAGCUAGCAGUGUUUUUGCACGAUGCAUCUGAACGCUGAUUAUUAAUUUAACCUCCUAACUCAAGACAUUGCUGAGGUCAUUGCAAAACAAGUGCUACACUAGAGAUUUUCACUUGGUUAAACUCGAAUAUUGAAUUCUACCACUUGAAUCUUAAACAGCAUUGGCAGACAGUAUCUCAGUUGAAGAAUUUCUCCUCUGACUUCUGUGCAGAUACAAUUAAAUCAGGUACAUGUAAUGGUAACGUAAAGAUGAAAAACCAGAGUAUACACAUUGGACCUAGAAAACAGGGAGUCAUAAGGCAGAUAUUAGCAGCAAAAUGAGGUAAGUUACACUUAACAGUAACUAAUUUUUUUUUUUAAAUUAUCUAACAAAAAGAAAAAUGCUUCUGUGGGCUUUCAUGCAUGCAUAGUGAGCAAACAGACUGCCAGAGGACAAUUCUUGUUCAUUCUCUACUACAGUAAGUCAUUUUAGUGAAAUAUUUUUUGCCACUUACCACAUUCAAAGGUUUAAUGAGAUAUUAUCAAAAGACUUUAAUUCUAAUGAUACUAAAAAAUGGUGUGAGCAGAUUGGCAUAACAGGCACUGGUAUUUUGAAAUUUCAAGCAUCUUUUGGUCUGGAAAAUUUUAGUCCAUCACACAUUAUGAUAUAAUAAUCAAGAGUAAUAACUAGUUAAUAGCCUUGUUUGAAAAACGAGA